rnacentral:rRNA from 1 species
GAUGAACGCUAGCUACAGGCUUAACACAUGCAAGUCGAGGGGAAACGAUAUUGGAAGCUUGCUUCCGAUAGGCGUCGACCGGCGCACGGGUGAGUAACGCGUAUCCAACCUGCCCACCACUUGGGGAUAACCUUGCGAAAGUAAGACUAAUACCCAAUGAUAUCUCUAGAAGACAUCUGAAGGAGAUUAAAGAUUUAUCGGUGAUGGAUGGGGAUGCGUCUGAUUAGCUUGUUGGCGGGGUAACGGCCCACCAAGGCGACGAUCAGUAGGGGUGCUGAGAGGAAGGUCCCCCACAUUGGAACUGAGACACGGUCCAAACUCCUACGGGAGGCAGCAGUGAGGAAUAUUGGCCAAUGGGCGAGAGCCUGAACCAGCCAAGUAGCGUGCAGGAUGACGGCCCUAUGGGUUGUAAACUGCUUUUAUAAGGGAAUAAAGUGAGCCUUGUGAGGCUUUUUGCAUGUACCUUAUGAAUAAGGACCGGCUAAUUCCGUGCCAGCCGCCGCGGUAAGAC